AUAUUUUAGGCGGGUUCCAAACCUUUUGGCUUUAUUUUGUAAGGUGGUCUUGAAAUCCUUCCCUCUCCUUUGGAAAACUAACCAUGUCUACUACAAAUGACAACAAUACUAUGAUCGGUAAAUGGCAAAGUGCAGACAAGUGUAACAGUAGACAAAGAGUACAAGAGAAUACAAAGGUUCUUACGUUGACCGUACUGCAUAGACCUUGAUUCAGGCACAGCCAGUUUGAGCUCUGUUAGUGAAUGAUUCCGAUGGUGCCCAAAACAAGCCCAUUCAGAGAUCGACACUAUUGACGCAGCAGUGAUGAGAAAAUAUGCUAAUGCUAAAGGACAAAAUAUGCUAAAGGACAAAAGAUGCCCACUGCUAGCGUCGAAGAUACGGGUACUGUGCCCUAAGAUGCAGAACUGGACCAUCAGCUACUCAGUAAGGCUACUCAGAAUGGCCGUCUCAGCUGCAUAGCUGAAUCAGGUGAAUCUGCUCUCUUCCAAUAUAUUUCAAACGGCUGGACACAGAAGAGAUGGAUUCUCACAUGCAAUUAUCAUUGAUCUGUAUGGAGAGGUUCCAAUGCAGUACAUACAGUACACGUUUAUUAGCAUUUUCUUCAGUUCUGUUCCAGCACCUGUUUCUGUAAAGCACGUAUACCUGCAAAGCGUACUUGUAUACACUCCCGAUUUUUCAGGCAGUCUGCACCUUCAGAAGAGUGGUUGUAUCUCCUGCAUACCACCUGCUUUCUAGUGAAGUGGGCAGUAUGAGGAGAUUACAUAGGGAAUUGCGGUACCAAAUGGAGGGGGUGGGGAUAAAUUAUGUGAUUUUGCAUCCCACCCCCCAAAGUGCCAAGCAGCAUUUCCUAUCCGGUCUUCUCCCAGAGUGGAGAACUGAAAUGUAGGUAAGUUCAGUAUACUACAAAGUGAUAUUUCUUCCUAGAGAUCAAUGGGCAUGAUUCUGAGGGUGGAGUAGACCAAAAAAGAGUAGGUAACUGUGUGCAUGGACAAACCAUGCUGGACUGCAAAGGGUGCAAAUACAUUUAUUGUUUUGCAUGCAGAAUAAAUAUUGAUUUGAAUUUGGACACGCCCCUCUCAAAUUUAAAUCUCCCUGCAUAUUUUAAAUCUGCCCCACCUGGGGUGCAACAUGGUUGUGCCAAGGUGCACAGUUACUUGCCCUUUUUUGCUUUACUCAACAAUAUGUCCUCCAUUCACCUGGUAAAGCAUGUGCAAUUGUAGACUGGAUUCUUAAAAAGCAAAUAAAGUCAUUAAACA